rfam:Fistulina hepatica ATCC 64428 unplaced genomic scaffold FISHEscaffold_97, whole genome shotgun sequence.
GGGCGCGUGGUACAGUGGUAGCACGCUUCCUUAGCAUCUGUUCUGGUGUACGAUGUAUUUGGAAGAGGUCCUGGGUUCAAUUCCCAGCGCGUCCA